CCUACGUGAGGCAGCAGUAGGGAAUCUUCCACAAUGGGCGAAAGCCUGAUGGAGCAACGCCGCGUGGGUGAAGAAGGUCUUCGGAUCGUACAACCCUGUUGUUAGAGAAGAAAGUGCGUGAGAGUAUCUGUUCACGUUUCGACGGUAUCUAACCAGAAAGCCACGGCUAACUACGUGCCAGCAGCCGCGGUAAUACGUAGGUGGCACGCGUUAUCCGGAUUUAUUGGGCGUAAAGGGAACGCCGGCGGUAGUUUAAGUCUGUUGUGAAAGCCUUCGGCUUAACCGGAGUAGUGCAUUGGAUACUGGUAGACUUGAGUACAGAAGAGGAGGGUGGAACUCCAUGUGUAGCGGUGAAAUGCGUAGAUAUAAGGAAGAACACCAAUGGCGAAAGCUGCUCGCUGGUCUGUAACUGACGCUGAUGUUCGAAAGCGUGGGUAGCAAACAGGAUUAGAUACCCCUGUAGUC
rnacentral:rRNA from 1 species